UCUGUUUUUAGCUGCGUGCCUGCCAGGAUCUGAGAUACCAUGGUGAUGGGAGUCACAGAAACAGAGACGGAAGAUAGAUUGCCGCAAAGGCCAGCGUUCUGCACUCCCUGCCUAAUGGGAAAGCCUCAAGCUGGAGGCUUCAAGGUCUUGUACCCAUUUCCCAUUGGCUCUCCCAGACGAUCCUGAAAACAGAUCGGAACAAGCUGUGACCACAGCGUUUCUAGCCAACCCAGAGGUCACAUGGGUGUUGCUGCAGCUCUGAGGCCACCCAAGAGGGCAGAGUGAAUAGCCAGGGUGGUCAUUACUGCCGCUGAUCCCUCCACUCCCUAAACCUCCUGCAAAGCCAUGCAGCCUCCUCCCUCCGGAGCCAGCGUCAGGUGCAGGGCGGCCAGGAGCCCCUGAGCGGUGUGGCCAACAGGCUCCCAGAAGGAAUUCUUCACAUAUGCUGAAUAUCAACCCCUCAUCAGAUAUAUGAUUUGCAGAUCUUUUCUCCCAUUCUGUGGGUUGCCUUUUCACUCUGUGAAGUGAAUAUCCAGAGCCUCUGCACGUGGAGGGUGAAGAGAGUUAAUGAAGCACACGAUAUGGUUUUCUCGGAUGUGAGGGAUCGUCAUGACAGCCACGGGGAGACAGAGAGCACAUGGACGUUCGAAGUGUGGUCCAGGGACCGGCAGCCCCGGUGCCACCUGGGAGCUAGAAAACGAUGCGUGACCCCGGCCACCCCCAGCCUCCUGUUCCUUCUGCAAUCUAAGAGACCCCCGGGGAAUCGGAUGCAUGCACAAGUUUCAGAAGCCCAAACAUGAGGUGUCACAUACGCCAUCAGAAUGUGCAAGACCACAAAGACAGUCUGGGGUCAGGCAAGAUGGGCUUGUUCCUGGUCCGAUGUGCACAGAGGAGCAAAACCAGGGAAGCCCAGGAACAACGGCUAAUCAGCCUUUGGAAUGUCCAAACACCUCAACCAGAGUGUCAGCUGGAGCAGAAGGAGACAGUAGAUGUUAGGACAGUAUUGCCUGAAACGUGACUAUGUUUCAUGGAAUCGAUCCAUUUCCUUCAGAGACGAGAGCUCGUUGAAGCUGUUUCAAGGAACCUAUGUCCAGGGAGCAAUGAUGAAAUUAAAGCAGCUGGCUCUUAAGAUGGGCAUAAGGAAACCAAAUGCCAAACACAACGCUUUUUUGACAGUGACAGAGUUCAAUGCCAAAUAGCAACUUCAUGGAAAGAAAAAUAAUUGUAAUGGGUAAUUGGAUUGGGAAAUCAGAAAAAAAAACCCAUAUAUAUCUGGGGUUUUUUCACCAAACUGAUUAGACUAUAUGAGAUUGACUCUUACUUCUGUCUCCAGUAAACAGUAACACCAGAUACCAAUUAGCUAUCCCUCUGGCAAGCUUCAAAAAGCAUCAUCAGCCAAAGAGAGAACUCAAAAUUGGUUUUUUUUUGUCUUGUUGGAGUCAUUUUAUUUCAUUUUUUAAAAUUUUAUUUAUUUAUUUAGAGAGAGACAGAGACAGCGUGA